rnacentral:rRNA from 1 species
UACGAAGGGGGCUAGCGUUGCUCGGAAUUACUGGGCGUAAAGGGAGCGUAGGCGGACAUUUUAAGUCAGAGGUGAAAUCCCGGAACUAACUUCGGAACUGCCUUUGAUACUGGGUGUCUUGAGUGUGAGAGAGGUAUGUGGAACUCCGAGUGUAGAGGUGAAAUUCGUAGAUAUUCGGAAGAACACCAGUGGCGAAGGCGACAUACUGGCUCAUUACUGACGCUGAGGCUCGAAAGCGUGGGGAGCAAACAGG